rnacentral:rRNA from 1 species
UACGUAGGGGGCAAGCGUUGUCCGGAUUUAUUGGGCGUAAAGAGCGUGUAGGCGGUUUGGUAGGUCCGUUGUGAAAACUCGAGGCUCAACCUCGAGACGCCGAUGGAAACCAUCAGACUAGAGUCCGGAAGAGGAGAGUGGAAUUCCUGGUGUAGCGGUGAAAUGCGCAGAUAUCAGGAAGAACACCCGUGGCUAAGGCGGCUCUCUAGUACGGUACUGACGCUGAGACGCGAAAGCGUGGGAGCGACAGG